rnacentral:rRNA from 1 species
AGAGUUUGAUCCUGGCUCAGAACGAACGCUGGCGGCGUGCUUAACACAUGCAAGUCGAGCGAGAAAAGGGAGCAAUCCCUGAGUAAAGCGGCAGACGGGUGAGUAACACGUGGACAAUCUACCCUCGAGUGGGGAAUAACAUCUCGAAAGAGGUGCUAAUACCGCAUGACAUCCAAUGGCCUUCGGUCUGUUGGAUCAAAGGUGGGGAUCUUCGGACCUACCGCUCGAGGAGGAGUCCGCGGCUGAUUAGCUAGUUGGUGAGGUAACGGCCCACCAAGGCGACGAUCAGUAGCCGGCCUGAGAGGGUGAACGGCCACACUGGAACUGAGACACGGUUCAGACUCCUACGGGAGGCAGCAGUGAGGAAUUUUGGACAAUGGGCGAAAGCCUGAUCCAGCAACGCCGCGUGGACGAUGAAGGUCUUCGGAUCGUAAAGUCCUGUCGAGCGGGAAGAAAGACAUCAAGACAAAUAAUUUUGGUGUCCGACUGUACCGCGAGAGGAAGCCCCGGCUAACUCCGUGCCAGCAGCCGCGGUAAU